CCUUACCUGGCCUUGACAUCCUGCGAACUUUCUAGAGAUAGAUUGGUGCCUUCGGGAACGCAGUGACAGGUGCUGCAUGGCCGUCGUCAGCUCGUGUCGUGAGAUGUUGGGUUAAGUCCCGUAACGAGCGCAACCCCUAUCCCUAGUUGCUAGCAGUUCGGCUGAGAACUCUAGGGAGACUGCCGGUGACAAACCGGAGGAAGGUGGGGAUGACGUCAGGUCAUCAUGGCCCUUACGGCCAGGGCUACACACGUGCUACAAUGGCGCGCACAGAGGGCUGCAAACUCGCGAGAGUAAGCCAAUCUCUUAAAACGCGUCGUAGUCCGGAUCGCAGUCUGCAACUCGACUGCGUGAAGUCGGAAUCGCUAGUAAUCGCGAAUCAGAAUGUCGCGGUGAAUACGUUCCC
rnacentral:rRNA from 1 species